AGAACGAACGCUGGCGGCAUGCCUAAUACAUGCAAGUCGAACGAACACUUCGGUGUUAGUGGCGCACGGGUGCGUAACGCGUGGGAAUCUGCCCUUGGGUUCGGAAUAACAGUUGGAAACGACUGCUAAUACCGGAUGAUAUCGAAAGAUCAAAGAUUUAUCGCCCAGGGAUGAGCCCGCGUAGGAUUAGCUAGUUGGUGAGGUAAAGGCUCACCAAGGCGACGAUCCUUAGCUGGUCUGAGAGGAUGAUCAGCCACACUGGGACUGAGACACGGCCCAGACUCCUACGGGAGGCAGCAGUAGGGAAUAUGGACAAUGGGCGCAAGCCUGAUCCAGCAAUGCCGCGUGAGUGAUGAAGGCCUUAGGGUUGUAAAGCUCUUUUACCCGAGAUGAUAAUGACAGUAUCGGAAGAAUAAGCCCCGGCUAACUCCGUGCCAGCCAGCCGC
rnacentral:rRNA from 1 species